rnacentral:rRNA from 1 species
AGCCUCUAGCGAGCUUUGAGCGGCCCGUACCCUAAACCGACACAGGUGGUCAGGUAGAGAAUACCGAGGCGACGGGUGAACUGUGGUUAAGGAACUCGGCAAAUUGCCCCCGUAACUUAGGGAGAAGGGGGGCCGGACGCGUGAAGCCCCUUGCGGGUGGAGCGUGGUAUGGCCGCAGAGAGCAGGGGGAAGCGACUGUUUACUAAAAACACAGGUCCAUGCCAAGUCGUAAGACGAUGUAUAUGGACUGACGCCUGCCCGGUGCUGGAACGUUAAGGGGACCUGUUAGCUCUUCGGGGCGAAGCGGAGAACUUAAGCGCCAGUAAACGGCGGUGGUAACUAUAACCAUCCUAAGGUAGCGAAAUUCCUUGUCGGGUAAGUUCCGACCUGCACGAAUGGCGUAACGACUUCCCCACUGUCUCAACCACAGGCCCGGCGAAAUUGCAGUACGAGUAAAGAUGCUCGUUACGCGCGGCAGGACGGAAAGACCCCGGGACCUUUACUAUAGCUUGACAUUGGUAUCCGAAUUUAAUUGUGUAGGAUAGGUGGGAGCCGGUGAAGCUCGGACGCCAGUUCGGGUGGAGGCAUUGUUGAAAUACCACUCUGUUGGGUUUGGGUAUCUAACUUGCGGCCCUGAUCGGGUCGAGGGACAGUGUCUGGUGGGUAGUUUAACUGGGGCGGUUGCCUCCUAAAGGGUAACGGAGGCGCCCAAAGGUUCCCUCAGCCUGGUUGGCAAUCAGGUGUUGAGUGUAAGUGCACAAGGGAGCUUGACUGUGAGACUGACGGGUCGAGCAGGGACGAAAGUCGGGACUAGUGAUCCGGCACUUGCGUGUGGAAGCGGUGUCGCUCAACGGAUAAAAGGUACCCCGGGGAUAACAGGCUGAUCUUCCCCAAGAGUCCAUAUCGACGGGAUGGUUUGGCACCUCGAUGUCGGCUCGUCGCAUCCUGGGGCUGUAGCAGGUCCCAAGGGUUGGCUGUUCGCCCAUUAAAGCGGUACGCGAGCUGGGGUUUAGAACGGUCGUGAGACAGUUCGGUCCCUAUCCGCCGUGCGUCGUUGGAUACUUGAGAAGGGCUGCCCCUAGUACGAGAGGACCGGGACGGACGAACCUCUGGUGUGCCAGUUGUUCCGCCAGGAGCAUG